rnacentral:rRNA from 5 species
GGACCUCUAAUCGGAAAAGACCACCCGCUGAGUUUAAGCAUAUCAAUA